rnacentral:rRNA from 1 species
UCCGUAGGGUGCAAGCGUUGUCCGGAAUUAUUGGGCGUAACGAGCUCGUAGGCGGCUUGUUGCGUCGGCUGUGAAAUCCCGGGGCUUAACUCCGGGCGUGCAGCCGAUACGGGCAGGCUAGAGUCCGGUAGGGGAGACUGGAAUUCCUGGUGUAGCGGUGAAAUGCGCAGAUAUCAGGAGGAACACCGGUGGCGAAGGCGGCUCUCUGGGACGGGACUGACGCUGAGGAGCGAAAGCGUGGGGAGCGAACAGG